GGGGGUGAAUAGCAUCGACAGAAAUCUUUACCAAAAUAAGCAGGUAGAGUCUGCUAGAAACUCUUAAAACCUCUAGCAAAGAAAAUAAGUGCCAACUUAUUCGCAAGCAAACAGCUUGCUCCCGUCCUCGCCUAUGCUUAAAUAGGCGGGACCAUCUGACCGCUGAUUCUCGAUAGGCGGAUCCAGGUGUCAUAUUUUCGAGAUAGAUAGUUCUUUUGUCUCAAGAACUUUAUCGAAGAGAUAGAGACAAGUGGUACUAGAAUUUUGUCUAUUUUUAUCCUUCGGUGAUACUCAGGAUAACCCUGAGCGAAGUUGAAGGGUUAAUCUAGUAUUUCAAAAACUAAAAUAGACUAAACUUGUAGAGAUAUUUUGGCAAUAUUUCUGGAUUGGGGCCCAAAACCCCACACCUCCACAC
rnacentral:tmRNA from 4 species